rnacentral:rRNA from 1 species
CAGUCGCCACGGUAAUACGUAGGGUGCGAGCGUUAAUCGGAAUUACUGGGCGUAAAGCGUGCGCAGGCGGUUGUGUAAGACAGGUGUGAAAUCCCCGGGCUUAACCUGGGAACUGCGCUUGUGACUGCACAGCUAGAGUAUGGCAGAGGGGGGUGGAAUUCCACGUGUAGCAGUGAAAUGCAUAGAGAUGUGGAGGAACACCGAUGGCGAAGGCAGCCCCCUGGGCCAAUACUGACGCUCAUGCACGAAAGCGUGGGGAGCAAACAGGAUUAGAUACCCCCGUAGUCCCUGUCUCUUAUAC